GGGUUGUGAGGUUAAGCGACUAAGCGUACACGGUGGAUGCCCUGGCAGUCAGAGGCGAUGAAGGGCGUACUAAUCUGCGAUAAGCGCCGGUAAGGUGAUAUGAACCGUUAUAACCGGCGAUACCCGAAUGGGGAAACCCAGUGUGAUUCGUCACACUAUCAUUAACUGAAUCCAUAGGUUAAUGAGGCGAACCGGGGGAACUGAAACAUCUAAGUACCCCGAGGAAAAGAAAUCAACCGAGAUUCCCCCAGUAGCGGCGAGCGAACGGGGAGGAGCCCAGAGCCUGAAUCAGCAUGUGUGUUAGUGGAAGCGUCUGGAAAGGCGCGCGAUACAGGGUGACAGCCCCGUACACAAAAGCGCAUGUGCUGUGAGCUCGAUGAGUAGGGCGGGACACGUGGUAUCCUGUCUGAAUAUGGGGGGACCAUCCUCCAAGGCUAAAUACUCCUGACUGACCGAUAGUGAACCAGUACCGUGAGGGAAAGGCGAAAAGAACCCCGGCGAGGGGAGUGAAAAAGAACCUGAAACCGUGUACGUACAAGCAGUGGGAGCACANNNNNNNNNNNNNNNNNNNNNNNNNUUUGUAUAAUGGGUCAGCGACUUAUAUUCUGUAGCAAGGUUAACCGAAUAGGGGAGCCGGAGGGAAACCGAGUCUUAAUUGGGCGUUAAGUUGCAGGGUAUAGACCCGAAACCCGGUGAUCUAGCCAUGGGCAGGUUGAAGGUUGGGUAACACUAACUGGAGGACCGAACCGACUAAUGUUGAAAAAUUAGCGGAUGACCUGUGGCUGGGGGUGAAAGGCCAAUCAAACCGGGAGAUAGCUGGUUCUCCCCGAAAGCUAUUUAGGUAGCGCCUCGUGAAUUCAUCUCCGGGGGUAGAGCACUGUUUCGGCUAGGGGGCCAUCCCGGCUUACCAACCCGAUGCAAACUGCGAAUACCGGAGAAUGUUAUCACGGGAGACACACGGCGGGUGCUAACGUCCGUCGUGAAGAGGGAAACAACCCAGACCGCCAGCUAAGGUCCCAAAGUCAUGGUUAAGUGGGAAACGAUGUGGGAAGGCCCAGACAGCCAGGAUGUUGGCUUAGAAGCAGCCAUCAUUUAAAGAAAGCGUAAUAGCUCACUGGUCGAGUCGGCCUGCGCGGAAGAUGUAACGGGGCUAAACCAUGCACCGAAGCUGCGGCAGCGACACUGUGUGUUGUUGGGUAGGGGAGCGUUCUGUAAGCCUGCGAAGGUGGCCUGUGAGGGUUGCUGGAGGUAUCAGAAGUGCGAAUGCUGACAUAAGUAACGAUAAAGCGGGUGAAAAGCCCGCUCGCCGGAAGACCAAGGGUUCCUGUCCAACGUUAAUCGGGGCAGGGUGAGUCGACCCCUAAGGCGAGGCCGAAAGGCGUAGUCGAUGGGAAACGGGUUAAUAUUCCCGUACUUGGUGUUACUGCGAAGGGGGGACGGAGAAGGCUAUGUUGGCCGGGCGACGGUUGUCCCGGUUUAAGCGUGUAGGUGUGUGUUCCAGGUAAAUCCGGUUCACUUUAACACUGAGGCGUGACGACGAGGCACUACGGUGCUGAAGCAACAAAUGCCCUGCUUCCAGGAAAAGCCUCUAAGCAUCAGGUAACAUCAAAUCGUACCCCAAACCGACACAGGUGGUCAGGUAGAGAAUACCAAGGCGCUUGAGAGAACUCGGGUGAAGGAACUAGGCAAAAUGGUGCCGUAACUUCGGGAGAAGGCACGCUGACACGUAGGUGAAGUGAUUUACUCAUGGAGCUGAAGUCAGUCGAAGAUACCAGCUGGCUGCAACUGUUUAUUAAAAACACAGCACUGUGCAAACACGAAAGUGGACGUAUACGGUGUGACGCCUGCCCGGUGCCGGAAGGUUAAUUGAUGGGGUCAGCGCAAGCGAAGCUCCUGAUCGAAGCCCCGGUAAACGGCGGCCGUAACUAUAACGGUCCUAAGGUAGCGAAAUUCCUUGUCGGGUAAGUUCCGACCUGCACGAAUGGCGUAAUGAUGGCCAGGCUGUCUCCACCCGAGACUCAGUGAAAUUGAACUCGCUGUGAAGAUGCAGUGUACCCGCGGCAAGACGGAAAGACCCCGUGAACCUUUACUAUAGCUUGACACUGAACAUUGAGCCUUGAUGUGUAGGAUAGGUGGGAGGCUUUGAAGUGUGGACGCCAGUCUGCAUGGAGCCGACCUUGAAAUACCACCCUUUAAUGUUUGAUGUUCUAACGUGGACCCGUUACCCGGGUUGCGGACAGUGUCUGGUGGGUAGUUUGACUGGGGCGGUCUCCUCCUAAAGAGUAACGGAGGAGCACGAAGGUUGGCUAAUCCUGGUCGGACAUCAGGAGGUUAGUGCAAUGGCAUAAGCCAGCUUGACUGCGAGCGUGACGGCGCGAGCAGGUGCGAAAGCAGGUCAUAGUGAUCCGGUGGUUCUGAAUGGAAGGGCCAUCGCUCAACGGAUAAAAGGUACUCCGGGGAUAACAGGCUGAUACCGCCCAAGAGUUCAUAUCGACGGCGGUGUUUGGCACCUCGAUGUCGGCUCAUCACAUCCUGGGGCUGAAGUAGGUCCCAAGGGUAUGGCUGUUCGCCAUUUAAAGUGGUACGCGAGCUGGGUUUAGAACGUCGUGAGACAGUUCGGUCCCUAUCUGCCGUGGGCGCUGGAGAACUGAGGGGGGCUGCUCCUAGUACGAGAGGACCGGAGUGGACGCAUCACUGGUGUUCGGGUUGUCAUGCCAAUGGCACUGCCCGGUAGCUAAAUGCGGAAGAGAUAAGUGCUGAAAGCAUCUAAGCACGAAACUUGCCCCGAGAUGAGUUCUCCCUGAGACUUAAAGUCUCCUGAAGGAACGUUGAAGACGACGACGUUGAUAGGCCGGGUGUGUAAGCGCAGCGAUGCGUUGAGCUAACCGGUACUAAUGAACCGUGAGGCUUAACCUUACAACGCCGAAG
rnacentral:rRNA from 1 species